AGUGAACGCUGGCGGUAGGCCUAACACAUGCAAGUCGAACGGCAGCACAGUAAGAGCUUGCUCUUACGGGUGGCGAGUGGCGGACGGGUGAGGAAUACAUCGGAAUCUACUUUUUCGUGGGGGAUAACGUAGGGAAACUUACGCUAAUACCGCAUACGACCUACGGGUGAAAGCAGGGGAUCUUCGGACCUUGCGCGAUUGAAUGAGCCGAUGUCGGAUUAGCUAGUUGGCGGGGUAAAGGCCCACCAAGGCGACGAACCGUAGCUGGUCUGAGAGGAUGAUCAGCCACACUGGAACUGAGACACGGUCCAGACUCCUACGGGAGGCAGCAGUGGGGAAUAUUGGACAAAGGGCGCAAGCCUGAUCCAGCCAUACCGCGUGGGUGAAGAAGGCCUUCGGGUUGUAAAGCCCUUUUGUUGGGAAAGAAAAGCAGCAGGUUAAUACCCCGCUGUUCUGACGGUACCCAAAGAAUAAGCACCGGCUAACUUCGUG
rnacentral:rRNA from 1 species